GGGACAUUUUAGACCUAGUGGCCAGAUUUGGUCCAAAGAUGUCUUUGGUUAGUUUUGGGCAGUGUUUUAAAGAUGUGACCAGCCAACUUCAGGGAAGUCCUGAGCAGCAGACACUGUGGGCCCAGCCUGCCAGGCUCGACGAGCAGGGCCUUCAUGCAGGCCCAGGCGGAGGUGGGUCCCAGGGUCCCAGACUCCUACCUUCCCUCCCAGAGGCCAGGGCCAGGCCCAG